rnacentral:rRNA from 1 species
UCCGCAUGGUAGAACUAUUAAAGAAUUUCGGUCAUCGAUGGGGAUGCGUUCCAUUAGGUUGUUGGCGGGGUAACGGCCCACCAAGCCUUCGAUGGAUAGGGGUUCUGAGAGGAAGGUCCCCCACAUUGGAACUGAGACACGGUCCAAACUCCUACGGGAGGCAGCAGUGAGGAAUAUUGGUCAAUGGACGAGAGUCUGAACCAGCCAAGUAGCGUGAAGGAUGACUGCCCUAUGGGUUGUAAACUUCUUUUAUACGGGAAUAAAGUGAGGCACGUGUGCCUUUUUGUAUGUACCGUAUGAAUAAGGAUCGGCUAACUCCGUGCCAGCAGCCGCGGUAAUACGGAGGAUCCGAGCGUUAUCCGGAUUUAUUGGGUUUAAAGGGAGCGUAGGCGGACGCUUAAGUCAGUUGUGAAAGUUUGCGGCUCAACCGUAAAAUUGCAGUUGAUACUGGGUGUCUUGAGUACAGUAGAGGCAGGCGGAAUUCGUGGUGUAGCGGCGAAAUGCUUAGAUAUCACGAAGAACUCCGAUUGCGAAGGCAGCUUGCUGGACUGUAACUGACGCUGAUGCUCGAAAGUGUGGGUAUCAAACAGGAUUAGAUACCCUGGUAGUCCACACAGUA